CAUGAGACACUACUUGCCACAACCUGGUGAAGAGUCCAGCUGAGCCCUGCCUUCUCCUCGUCCAGCCGGGAAGCAGACAGAAGAGAGAAAUUUCCUUGGUGAGUACAGCCAGCAGUCAUUCCUUGUUCCUGAGUAAUCCUCAAAUCAGAGCCCCAUGAGGCCUCAAACACCAUAGAGUGGAGACAAACUUCUGUAAGUUUCUGGCCCACAGAAACCGUGGGCAUAAUACAACCAUUGUUUUAUAAUACUAAGUUUCAGGUAGAGUGUGUUACACAAACAGAUAACCAGAGUAAGGGACAAAGGUGUGCAGGUGAGGAAGACUCAGAGUGCAAUAGGAGACCCUCCAGCAGACUAGGUCCUCUACCCCCCUUCUCCACAUUGAGGUGCCAUGUUGGGGGCUGGGAGGCUGGGAGGAAUGGGAGCAUAUAUGGAGAAGAGAAACAGCCUUGGUGAUGAAUUUUGAGGCUUGACCUUGGCUAUCACUUCAGAAAUGACUAUAAUGUAUGAAAGACAUUGAAACUGGAAGAUACUAGAAUACCUUAAAAUUUUAUUUUAUUUUAAAUAUUUUAUUUAUUUAUUCAUGAGAGACACAGAGAGAGGCAGAGACAUAGGCAGAGGGAGAAGCAGGCUCCCUGCAGGGAGCCCGAUGCAUGACUUGAUCCCAAGACCCCAGGAUCAUGCCCUGAGCCAAAGACCGACGCUCAAUGGCUGAGCCACCCAGGUGUCCCAAUAACUUAACUUUUUAAUCUACCCCCCAACCAGCAAUUAAACAGGGUCCUUCAGGUAAGACAAGAAUCCAUUUGGAAAAGAGAGAGAGCAACACUUACUGUACCAGUCAGCUUAUGGUGUGAAGUUGACGCUGAGCCCCUGUUUGAUGGCAGAAGGUCUGUUAAUUUCUAGACACUGGAUGUAUGAGAAGCGAAGCUGACCAAAGUGUGAAUGACACUGGCACUUUUCAUGAAUGCUGAACAUUUUUAUUCAUUGAAUCAUAAUGACAAUUAGUGAUUUAUGAUAAAUGAGUUAAAGCUUUGCUACUUUCUGUAUUACUGUGAUGUGAUUUGUUUCCACCAUGUUUCAGGAUCCCAAGAGGGUAUCACACUAUUAAUUUAUCAGAUUUAUGCAGACCUUCUGGGGUCCACUGCACCAGCUCCGUCCGUGCUUUAGAGGCCCUGGAAGUUCCUCGCUUCUGUGUGCUCACAUCCUUCCUCGUGUAAAACGAGCAUGAUGUGAGCAAAGAAAAUCUCCAUCAAGCACAAAUCAGCCAAGGAAAUCUGGCUUAUUUGGGAACUCAGUAACUUGACAUCUGGCCCAUGGGGGAGAAAGAUGGAAAAUAAGUCAUAAGAAAAAUGAACAAGGCUAUUACAAAUCAGAGGAAGAUGCCACUGGAUGAAGAAGAGACAUCUCAUCAUGUGUGGUUUUGUGGUUGUCUUCUAGCCAAUAUGAUUGGUCACGUCAACAUGAACUGACAUAGUUGCUACUUCACUAAGUUUCACUCAGAUCAGACAGGUUAAUAUUAAUAAAGGAUAUUCACAAAGACACAAAGCAAUUAUUUUUAAGACAAUGAAGUCUGUGGAGAGAAGGACAUCAGAGUGUACUGGUGAUCUGGACGUGAAAUGCUGUUGUGUUGGGGAGACGUGCUCAUGUCAGGUGCAAAGCCAAAGCACCUUUGUAUACCAGCAAUGUUAUGUUCAAAUAUUUAACAUAUUGAUUUAUAAAUGUUCAGGAAAACUCCCUGUUCUUUGCAUAACCACAUCAGUGCAGGUUAACAAGACAAGGAAGUGACUCUCCUUGUUGUAAGGAAUUUAGCAACAAGCAACAAUGAUGAAAGUAAUGAUGCUGCCUCACAUUUGCUUUGUGACCCUAUACUUACACAUAUACUUUCUUAUUUAUGUCAAGCCUCGUGAGACAGAUAAGAGGAUUCUAAGCCAGUGAGUUAUCAGAAGGAAACCUAAAGAAAGGCCUCUUUGUUAGCUGCUCAUGGAGAAAAAUCAUGUGGGGAUAUGAAUUGGCCACAAGGAGAUUUGAGUCCUGUUUCUAAUGCCAUUUCAUGAUGACCUUAGGCCAAAAAAUUGUGUUUGUGUCUUUGCUUCCUCAUGCAUAGAAGUUCAGUCGUAAAUCACUAUUGAUCUUGUGUGGCAUUCUAUUUAAUAAAGAGUUAGCAUACGAAUACAUAUAACACAACUUGCACAUUUCAAAAAUAUGAUUCAAUUUGUAAUCAUAACAUAAUUUGAACAAAUAUCUGUGACAUACAACCGGGUUAACAAUAUAUUUUCUUAUAACAGUAGAACUUUCUGGCCAGUGUAUAAAAAAGAUGAACAGAUUCUGGACUCAUACUUAACUGGAUUUAAAUCUCAGCUCAGCUGUGAACCUUUACAAAAGUUACUCUGCAUUUUCAGGCCUAAUUCCUAAUUCCCCUUCUCUGUAAAAUGGGGUAAUGAUGGUGCAUAAAUGAGGAGGCUUAUCUUGCAGAUGAAAUGAGUUGAGAGAUGUAAGGUAAUUAGAAGAGGGUUGACACAUGGUAAUCCCAAUAUGAAAGUUAGUUCUUACUAAAUUCUGGGAGACAUUUUAGUAUCAAUAGACCUACCUUGGAUUUCCAUGAAUAACUUACUCACUUUUACCAAACACUGAGACUUCACUUUACUUUGCCUUGUCAUAUUUUUCUUUUACAUAAUAAAUUUACUUAAAUUAAACUUUUAGUCAUUUGGGGAGGGGGGAUUUUAAGAGUAGUCUGUGAAUAAUAAGGAGGUGUCCCUCUCUCUGUGACUACUAAUAAAUCCAUUUGUAAUUUUAA